rnacentral:rRNA from 1 species
AGUCGAGCGGACAGAUGGGAGCUUGCUCCCUGAUGUUAGCGGCGGACGGGUGAGUAACACGUGGGUAACCUGCCUGUAAGACUGGGAUAACUCCGGGAAACCGGGGCUAAUACCGGAUGGUUGUUUGAACCGCAUGGUUCAGACAUAAAAGGUGGCUUCGGCUACCACUUACAGAUGGACCCGCGGCGCAUUAGCUAGUUGGUGAGGUAACGGCUCACCAAGGCGACGAUGCGUAGCCGACCUGAGAGGGUGAUCGGCCACACUGGGACUGAGACACGGCCCAGACUCCUACGGGAGGCAGCAGUAGGGAAUCUUCCGCAAUGGACGAAAGUCUGACGGAGCAACGCCGCGUGAGUGAUGAAGGUUUUCGGAUCGUAAAGCUCUGUUGUUAGGGAAGAACAAGUGCCGUUCAAAUAGGGCGGCACCUUGACGGUACCUAACCAGAAAGCCACGGCUAACUACGUGCCAGCAGCCGCGGUAAUACGUAGGUGGCAAGCGUUGUCCGGAAUUAUUGGGCGUAAAGGGCUCGCAGGCGGUUUCUUAAGUCUGAUGUGAAAGCCCCCGGCUCAACCGGGGAGGGUCAUUGGAAACUGGGGAACUUGAGUGCAGAAGAGGAGAGUGGAAUUCCACGUGUAGCGGUGAAAUGCGUAGAGAUGUGGAGGAACACCAGUGGCGAAGGCGACUCUCUGGUCUGUAACUGACGCUGAGGAGCGAAAGCGUGGGGAGCGAACAGGAUUAGAUACCCUGGUAGUCCACGCCGUAAACGAUGAGUGCUAAGUGUUAGGGGGUUUCCGCCCCUUANUGCUGCAGCUAACGCAUUAAGCACUCCGCCUGGGGAGUACGGUCGCAAGACUGAAACUCAAAGGAAUUGACGGGGGCCCGCACAAGCGGUGGAGCAUGUGGGUUUAAUUCGAAGCAACGCGAAGAACCUUACCAGGUCUUGACAUCCUCUGACAAUCCUAGAGAUAGGACGUCCNCCUUCGGGGGCAGANUGACAGGNGNUGCAUGNNNNCGUCAGCUCNNNNCGUGAGAUGUU